rnacentral:lncRNA from 1 species
AAAGAAUAUAUCAUAUACUAUCAUAUAGAAUACUAUAUUCUUUGAUAGUAUUGUACCGUCAUCGCGUUUGAGUACCUACUAUCGCUCACUGGUGGACCCGGUAGUAACUAAAGUUAAUCUGGGUAGAUAAAAAAGGGGACUUUUUUACCCAAGACAGAUUUGUAAAUUAAUCUGGAAAUACCUGUUUGCUUGGCUGGAUUAUUAAAGAUCAAGGAAACGUUUCAUCGAAUCUACCAUAUCCGAAUGAAUAGUGGAAUAGACUUUUCGUUUCUGAAGGAUAAAAGGAUAAGAACGAAGAAGAA